rnacentral:tRNA from 1 species
GCCCCGAUGGUGGAAUUGGUAUACACGCACGGUUGAGGGCCGUGGCGCCUUGUGCGCAUGAGAGUUCAAAUCUCUCUCGGGGCA